UGGACCUACGGGAGGCAGCAGUGGGGGAUAUUGCACAAUGGGGGGAACCCUGAUGCAGCGACGCCGCGUGGGUGAAGAAGUAUUUCGGUAUGUAAAGCCCUAUCGGCAGGGAAGAAAUUGGACGGUACCUGACUAAGAAGCCCCGGCUAACUACGUGCCAGCAGCCGCGGUAAUACGUAGGGGGCAAGCGUUAUCCGGAUUCACUGGGUGUAAAGGGAGCGUAGACGGCCAUGCAAGCCUGGAGUGAAAGCCCGGGGCCCAACCCCGGGACUGCGCUGGGAACUGUGCGGCUG
rnacentral:rRNA from 1 species